rnacentral:rRNA from 1 species
AUGCAGGACAAAAGGGAGGAACUAAGGCAGGGAAACACAAUUGAUGCAUCCAAGCUUUCUACACAAAACACAUUCUUCACAGAUGCAGCAUGGAAUCUACAGGGGAGCCAAAACGAAAAUGAAGGAGCACAAGCAGGAAUAGGUGUCUACAUUCAACUUAAGCAAGGUUACUCAAAACUUCAAGCAUCAAUUUCAGCCACAGGGAUGACAGCUAAUUCAGCUGUUCAAGCGGAAGCACUGGGUCUAAAGUUGGCAGCAAAUCUUUUGGAAUCUCUGCACAUUCAGGAAGCUGCGGUGCUAACAGACAACCUCACCGUGGCAAAAGCUGCAGCAGCAAGAUCGCCAAGGAAGGAACCAGGGAAUUGGCAGAUAAGAAGCUAUAUAGCAGACUUUUGUGCAAUGACAGAGUUCAAGAACAUUCAGGUCUACCAUGUUAACAGAGAUCAAAACAGCAUAGCGCAUGAAGCUGCAAGGUUAGCAAUCACACAGGAUCAUGUAGCUUCUCCUAUCCAUAGGUUUAGUUGCACUAAUCCUGUUCAUACUAGAGGGCAUUGUCCCCUGCUUCAGAGAUUAAUGCACACUCAAAUGCAGGGAUUUGUACUUUUACGUGUAAAUUGUUUCUCAGAUUAA